rnacentral:rRNA from 1 species
AGUGAACGCUGGCGGUAGGCCUAACACAUGCAAGUCGAACGGCAGCACAGUAAGAGCUUGCUCUUACGGGUGGCGAGUGGCGGACGGGUGGGGAAUACAUCGGAAUCUACUUUUUCGUGGGGGAUAACGUAGGGAAACUUACGCUAAUACCGCAUACGACCUACGGGUGAAAGCAGGGGAUCUUCGGACCUUGCGCGAGUGAAUGAGCCGAUGUCGGAUUAGCUAGUUGGCGGGGUAAAGGCCCACCAAGGCGACGAUCCGUAGCUGGUCUGAGAGGAUGAUCAGCCACACUGGAACUGAGACACGGUCCAGACUCCUACGGGAGGCAGCAGUGGGGAAUAUUGGACAAUGGGCGCAAGCCUGCUCCAGCCAUACCGCGUGGGUGAAGAAGGCCUUCGGGUUGUAAAGCCCUUUUGUUGGGAAAGAAAAGCAGCAGGUUAAUACCCCGCUGUUCUGACGGUACCCAAAGAAUAAGCACCGGCUAACUUCGUG